UACGAAGGGGGCUAGCGUUGCUCGGAAUCACUGGGCGUAAAGGGUGCGUAGGCGGGUCUUUAAGUCAGGGGUGAAAUCCUGGAGCUCAACUCCAGAACUGCCUUUGAUACUGAGGAUCUUGAGUUCGGGAGAGGUGAGUGGAACUGCGAGUGUAGAGGUGAAAUUCGUAGAUAUUCGCAAGAACACCAGUGGCGAAGGCGGCUCACUGGCCCGAUACUGACGCUGAGGUGCGAAAGCGUGGGGA
rnacentral:rRNA from 1 species